GACUGCAAGUGAACUUGAUGCAGGGCUUGGAGAGGAGGAUGACUUACUCGCCCCUCCUGCCUACCCUUCUGACACAUUCCUAGUGGAGGACAAAAGAACAAGUGAGAGUGAGAAGGAGAAUGACCCUAUGGAGAACCUUUACUCCAACCCUGUCAGGAAACCCAUCCCUGAAACACCUGCAAACAAGUCCUCCCCUGCUCCCGAUGACAGCAUCAUAGCUCUGAACCUGCGACAGAGGAGCUGCAGUCCCGGCCAGGACAGCAUGGGGGAGCCGACAAACGAUGACCAGGGGGAGGUCGAGGAUGAGGUGGAGAGAGAACCACACCC